UGGCGGACGGGUGAGUAAUGUCUGGGAAACUGCCCGAUGGAGGGGAAUAACUACUGGAAACGGUAGCUAAUACCGCAUAACGUCGCAAGACCAAAGAGGGGACCUUAGGGCCUCUUGCCAUCGGAUGUGCCCAGAUGGGAUUAGCUAGUAGGUGGGGUAACGGCUCACCUAGGCGACGAUCCCUAGCUGGUCUGGGAGGAUGACCAGCCACACUGGAACUGAGACACGGUCCAG
rnacentral:rRNA from 1 species